AAAUUGAAGAGUUUGAUCAUGGCUCAGAUUGAACGCUGGCGGCAGGCCUAACACAUGCAAGUCGAGCGGUAGCACAGAGAGCUUGCUCUCGGGUGACGAGCGGCGGACGGGUGAGUAAUGUCUGGGAAACUGCCUGAUGGAGGGGGAUAACUACUGGAAACGGUAGCUAAUACCGCAUAACGUCGCAAGACCAAAGUGGGGGACCUUCGGGCCUCAUGCCAUCAGAUGUGCCCAGAUGGGAUUAGCUAGUAGGUGGGGUAACGGCUCACCUAGGCGACGAUCCCUAGCUGGUCUGAGAGGAUGACCAGCCACACUGGAACUGAGACACGGUCCAGACUCCUACGGGAGGCAGCAGUGGGGAAUAUUGCACAAUGGGCGCAAGCCUGAUGCAGCCAUGCCGCGUGUGUGAAGAAGGCCUUCGGGUUGUAAAGCACUUUCAGCGGGGAGGAAGGCGGUGAGGUUAAUAACCUCAUCGAUUGACGUUACCCGCAGAAGAAGCACCGGCUAACUCCGUGCCAGCAGCCGCGGUAAUACGGAGGGUGCAAGCGUUAAUCGGAAUUACUGGGCGUAAAGCGCACGCAGGCGGUCUGUCAAGUCGGAUGUGAAAUCCCCGGGCUCAACCUGGGAACUGCAUUCGAAACUGGCAGGCUAGAGUCUUGUAGAGGGGGGUAGAAUUCCAGGUGUAGCGGUGAAAUGCGUAGAGAUCUGGAGGAAUACCGGUGGCGAAGGCGGCCCCCUGGACAAAGACUGACGCUCAGGUGCGAAAGCGUGGGGAGCAAACAGGAUUAGAUACCCUGGUAGUCCACGCCGUAAACGAUGUCGAUUUGGAGGUUGUGCCCUUGAGGCGUGGCUUCCGGAGCUAACGCGUUAAAUCGACCGCCUGGGGAGUACGGCCGCAAGGUUAAAACUCAAAUGAAUUGACGGGGGCCCGCACAAGCGGUGGAGCAUGUGGUUUAAUUCGAUGCAACGCGAAGAACCUUACCUGGUCUUGACAUCCACAGAACUUUCCAGAGAUGGAUUGGUGCCUUCGGGAACUGUGAGACAGGUGCUGCAUGGCUGUCGUCAGCUCGUGUUGUGAAAUGUUGGGUUAAGUCCCGCAACGAGCGCAACCCUUAUCCUUUGUUGCCAGCGGUCCGGCCGGGAACUCAAAGGAGACUGCCAGUGAUAAACUGGAGGAAGGUGGGGAUGACGUCAAGUCAUCAUGGCCCUUACGACCAGGGCUACACACGUGCUACAAUGGCAUAUACAAAGAGAAGCGACCUCGCGAGAGCAAGCGGACCUCAUAAAGUAUGUCGUAGUCCGGAUUGGAGUCUGCAACUCGACUCCAUGAAGUCGGAAUCGCUAGUAAUCGUAGAUCAGAAUGCUACGGUGAAUACGUUCCCGGGCCUUGUACACACCGCCCGUCACACCAUGGGAGUGGGUUGCAAAAAGAAGUAGGUAGCUUAACCUUCGGGAGGGCGCUUACCACUUUGUGAUUCAUGACUGGGGUGAAGUCGUAACAAGGUAACCGUAGGGGAACCUGCGGUUGGAUCACCUCCUUACCUUAAAGAA
rnacentral:rRNA from 1 species